AGGACGAACGCUGGCGGCGUGCUUAACACAUGCAAGUCGAGCGGAAAGGCCCUUCGGGGUACUCGAGCGGCGAACGGGUGAGUAACACGUGAGUAAUCUGCCCCUAGCUCUGGGAUAGCUCCGGGAAACCGGGAUUAAUACCAGAUACAACCACUUUAGACAUCUCUUGUGGUGGAAAGAUUUCGGCUAGGGAUGAACUCGCGGCCUAUCAGCUUGUUGGUGAGGUAACGGCUCACCAAGGCGACGACGGGUA
rnacentral:rRNA from 1 species